GAGCUGCGCAGUGAGUGCAAAGCAAACUAUUCUUUCGCCUUUUAUUAAAAAAUAUUGUGUGCUUGCUACAAUCAAUCAGUAUACUACACUGAAAGAGUUUUUCCUUAUUUGGAAAAA